GACGGGGGGGUCCUAGCGUUUGUUCGGAAUCAUUGGGCGUAAAGCGUGUGCAGGUGGCUCUGUAAGUCACCUGUGAAACCCCCGGGCUCAACUCGGGGCCUGCAGGCGGAAACUGCCGUGCUGGAGUGCGGGAAGAGGUGAGUGGAAUUCCCGGGUGUAGCGGUGAAAUGCGUAGAUAUCGGGAGGAACACCGGUGGCGAAGGCGGCGACCUGGGUAGAUACUGACGCUGAGGAGCGAAAGCGUGGGGAGCGAACAGG
rnacentral:rRNA from 1 species